rnacentral:rRNA from 1 species
CGUCAGCGGCAGACGGGUGAGUAACGCGUGGGAACGUACCUUUUGGUUCGGAACAACCCAGGGAAACUUGGACUAAUACCGGAUAAGCCCUUACGGGGAAAGAUUUAUCGCCGAAAGAUCGGCCCGCGUCUGAUUAGCUAGUUGGUGAGGUAACGGCUCACCAAGGCGACGAUCAGUAGCUGGUCUGAGAGGAUGAUCAGCCACAUUGGGACUGAGACACGGCCCAAACUCCUACGGGAGGCAGCAGUGGGGAAUAUUGGACAAUGGGCGCAAGCCUGAUCCAGCCAUGCCGCGUGAGUGAUGAAGGCCCUAGGGUUGUAAAGCUCUUUUGUGCGGGAAGAUAAUGACGGUACCGCAAGAAUAAGCCCCGGCUAACUUCGUGCCAGCAGCCGCGGUAAUACGAAGGGGGCUAGCGUUGCUCGGAAUCACUGGGCGUAAAGGGUGCGUAGGCGGGUCUUUAAGUCAGGGGUGAAAUCCUG